AUUGAACGCUGGCGGCAUGCUUUACACAUGCAAGUCGAGCGGCAGCACGGGGGCAACCCUGGUGGCGAGCGGCGAACGGGUGAGUAAUACAUCGGAACAUGCCCAGUCGUGGGGGAUAACACUUCGAAAGAAGUGCUAAUACCGCAUACGUCCUGAGGGAGAAAGCGGGGGAUCGCAAGACCUCGCGCGAUUGGAGUGGCCGAUGUCAGAUUAGCUAGUUGGUGGGGUAAAGGCCUACCAAGGCAACGAUCUGUAGCUGGUCUGAGAGGAUGAUCAGCCACACUGGGACUGAGACACGGCCCAGACUCCUACGGGAGGCAGCAGUGGGGAAUUUUGGGCAAUGGGGGCAACCCUGACUCAGCCAUUCCGCGUGAGUGAAGAAGGCCUUCGGGUUGUAAAGCUCUUUCGGCAGGAACGAAACGGUGAGCUCUAACAUAGCUUGCUAAUGACGGUACCUGAAGAAGAAGCACCGGCUAACUACGUGCCAGCAGCCGCCGUAACAC
rnacentral:rRNA from 1 species